UGGAUACACUCACCUAGAGGCCUGGGGACCACAGUGUUACAAGGGUGACUCCACAUCCUGGCCUGCUCCUUGGGUACGACAGUUCCCAUGCACGCUGGGAGAUUGCAUUUCCCAAAUUCCAUUGUAAUUAGGCUGGCGCCUCACAAGUGGGUUUUGACCAAUGGAACGUGGCGAGAAGAGGUGCAGGCUGCUUCCAGGCCUGGCAUGAAACCCUGUGUGCGGUGGCCCAUGCUCUCUUCCCCUUCUGCGACAACUUGGAGGGCUGCAUGUUUAAGAUGGUGGCAACACAGAGGGAAGGAGCUUAGAUUCCCGAGUCACGUGCCUACAAUCUGCUCUGGAUGUGCCUGGGUGAGCCCUGCGUACAACGUAGCUGGUCCUGAACACAGCAUUGCUUCUGUGAUAUUCCUGCCAAAGACAUAUCAGCGUGAAUUUGAUUGUGGUGAAACAUCAGCCAAAACCAAAUUAAUAGGCAUUGUAUAAAAUCAGUUGCCUCACUCUUCAAAAGUUUCAGAGUCAUGGAAGCCACUGGAAGACUGAGGAACUGUUUCAUGUUGGAGGACAAUAAAGGCAUAUGAGUUUGCAUUCUCAAGGCCCUUGAAUGGAAGGAUCCUGAGGUUUUAUCUGGUCAUAUCCCACAGAAAAAUCUAUGCAUUGACCCCUGAUUUUUGGACCUAAAGAGACCUUGGUAAGGAAUGAGCCCAGUCCUUCUUUUUCUGGACCCAUCAGGUCUACUGAAUUGGAUCGCACAACUUCCAAUACAUUUUUUGCUGCCUGAAUAAGAUGAGCAAGGAAAUAAAAAUAUCUGGGUCUUGAGUAUACUGGCUAUGUGACUUUCAGUUUCUAUGCACAUUAAUGUUCUCAAUAAUGAGUCUAAUUCUCAUCCACGGGUUUACUGACUUAUGGGUUAGAUAAUGUCUCCUCAAAUUCAUAUGUUAAAGUCCUAACCCGUAGUAUUUCAGAAUGUAACUGUAUUUGGAGAUAAAGUCUUUAAUUUAAGUAGGUAAUUAGGUUAAAAUAAGGUCUUUAGGGUGGGCCCUGAUUCAAUAUGACCAGUGUCCUUACAAGAAGAGGAAAUUUGGGCACAGACAUGUACAUGCAUGGAGGAAAGACCAUGUGAAGAUACUGGAAGGAGAAAGCCAUCUCCAAGCUACGGAGAGAAGCCUCAGAAUGAAACCAACUCUGUCCACACCAUGAUCUUGGCCCUCAGGCCUCCAGAACGAUUGGGAAAUACAUUUAUGUUGUUGAAGCUACCCCAGUCUCUGUUCCUUUGUUAUGACAGCCCUAGGAGACUAAUGCAGAUUUUGGUACAAGGAAUAGGGUGCUGCCGUAACAAAUACCUGAAAAUGUGCAAGUGGCUUCAGGACUGGGUAACAAGUUGAGGCUAGAAGAGUUUUGAGGCCAUAUUAGAAAAACCUAGAUGGCUUUGAAGAGACCGUUGAUAGAAAUAUGGACAUUAAAGGUUCUUCUGGCGAGGCCUAAGUUGGAAAUGAGGAACGUGUUAUUGGGCACGGGAGGAAAGAUGAUCGUGGUUAUAAAGUGGCAAAGAACUUGACUGAACUGCAUUCCAGUGCUUUGUGGAAAGUAAAACUUGCAAGUGAUGACCUUGGGUAUUUAGAUGAGAUUUCUAAGGAAAGUCUUGAAGGUGCGGCCUGGUUUCUCUUCACCACUUUGUAGCAGAAUGUGAAAGCACAAAGCUAAGUUGAAGAAGGAGUUGUUAAGCACAAAGGAACCAGAAUUUGAAGAUUUGGAAAAUUCUCAAUCAUCCAUAUUGCGAUACGUGAAUAUAGUGUUUUUUACGUUGUAGGGCAGCUAUGAGGAUUUAAUGUGAUAGGUUAUGUGUACUGUAAGAACUUUAUAAACUGUUCCACAAAAAUAAGGAGCUAUAAUACAUCUUAGAUAUUUUGCUAUAAUACAUCUUAGAUAUCUUCCUCAUGAGGUCAAGGAGGAGGAAAAUAUCAACAUUAUUUUUUUUUCACUUGGGAUAUUUGAGGUCUAGAGAGAUGAAGUGAUUUAUACAUAAUGUCAUAGAGUUACAGGACCUGGAUAAGGUUUGUGUCUUUAAAGUCUUAAUCCAACACCUUUCUAAUAUCAUGUUCUCUCAUGUCAAAGGCUUCUAGACUUUCAGCAAAUAAGAUCAACAAGCAUUUAAUCACAUACCCUUAACAGCACAUAGAUAGAAAUAGUAAGGAAUACAAAAUAAGCAGAAGGCACAGUCUUUUCUCCAUAGUAUCUAGAAAGCAAAAAAUAAACAUAUGUCUUAGCUAAUAAACUACAUAGCAAUCUUGGAAUAAUGCGUUUUCAGUUUUCCACACUCAUUGAUUAACUUCUAAAGGCAGGUUGGUGAUCUCCAUGACAUUUUUUGGAAAAAUGACAAAACACAGAUUUAGAAUCUUAAAAGCAUCUAUAUAUUUUUUUGUUGUUGUUGUUUGGCAUAGAUGCAUUUUCCUCCCUUAUAAUUUCUAUGAUUGUCUUGGAAGGAGCAGGUUUUCAAAUCAGAGGCUGAUGUCACUGUCUGAAGGUCCUGCCAAGUGUAAACAUUUCUGAUGGAGUAUAUUAGUAAAUUUGGUCACUGAUGUAAUUAAAAAUGGUCCCAGGAAUUGCAAAAGUA